rnacentral:rRNA from 1 species
GGCAAGUCUGGUGCCAGCAGCCGCGGUAAUUCCAGCUCCAAUAGCGUAUAUUAAAGUUGUUGCAGUUAAAAGCUCGUAGUUGAACUUUAGGCAAGGCGGCCUGGUCACCCACUGGGUGUACUGGGCUCGCCGCGCCUCACCUUCGGGGAACUAGCUGUGCUUCGGUGCACUAGGGAACCGAGCCUUACUUUGAAGAAUUAGAGUGUUUAAAGCAGGCGAUCGCUUGAAUACAUCAGCAUGGAAUAACAAGACAAGACAUUGGGUCUUCUUGUUGGUUUGGGGAGCAGUGUAAUGAUUAAUAGGGCCAGUUGGGGCAUUAGUAUUCAGUAGUCAGAGGUGAAAUUCUUGGAUUUACUGAAGACUAACUAGUGCGAAAGCAUUUGCCAAGGAUGUUUUCAUUAAUCAAGAACGAAAGUUAGGGGAUCGAAGAUGAUCAGAUACCGU